rnacentral:rRNA from 1 species
ACUCAAAUGAAUUGACGGGGGCUCACACAAGCGGUGGAGUAUGUGGAUUAAUUCGAAGCAACGCGAAGAACCUUACCUGGGUUUGACAUGCUGGGAUGCACCCAUGAAAGUGGGCUAUGCUGCCUCUGGUGAAACCAGCACAGGUGCUGCAUGGCUGUCGUCAGCUCGUGCUGUGAAGUGUCGGGUUAAGUCCUCUAACGAGCGAAACCCCUGUCGUUAGUUGCCAGCGGGUCAUGCCGGGAACUCUAACGAGACUGCCGGCGUUAAGCCGGAGGAAGGUGGGGACGACGUCAAGUCAUCAUGGCCCUUAUGCCCAGGGUUUCACACGUACUACAAUGCCCGCUACAAAACGAGGCGAGACCGUGAGGUGGAGCAAAUCGUAGAAACGCGGGCCCAGUUCAGAUUGGAGUCUGCAACCCGACUCCAUGAAGUUGGAAUCGCUAGUAAUCGCGCAUCAGCCAUGGCGCGGUGAAUGUGUUCCUGAGCCUUGUACACACCGCCCGU